rnacentral:rRNA from 1 species
GACGAACGCUGGCGGCGUGCCUAAUACAUGCAAGUAGAACGCUGAAGGAGGAGCUUGCUCUUCUGGAUGAGUUGCGAACGGGUGAGUAACGCGUAGGUAACCUGCCUGGUAGCGGGGGAUAACUAUUGGAAACGAUAGCUAAUACCGCAUAACAGUAGAUGUUGCAUGACAUUUACUUAAAAGGUGCAAUUGCAUCACUACCAGAUGGACCUGCGUUGUAUUAGCUAGUUGGUGGGGUAACGGCUCACCAAGGCGACGAUACAUAGCCGACCUGAGAGGGUGAUCGGCCACACUGGGACUGAGACACGGCCCAGACUCCUACGGGAGGCAGCAGUAGGGAAUCUUUGGCAAUGGACGGAAGUCUGACCGAGCAACGCCGCGGGAGUGAAGAAGGUUUUCGGAUCGUAAAGCUCUGUUGUAAGAGAAGAACGAGUGUGAGAGUGGAAAGUUCACACUGUGACGGUAUCUUACCAGAAAGGGACGGCUAACUACGUG